UACGAAGGGGGGCUAGCGUUGUUCGGAAUUACUGGGCGUAAAGGGCGCGUAGGCGGCGUGUCAAGUCAGGCGUGAAAAGCCCCCGGGCUCAACCUGGGAACCGCGCUUGAGACUGGCAUGCUCGAGUUCGGGAGAGGAUGGUGGAAUUCCCAGUGUAGAGGUGAAAUUCGUAGAUAUUGGGAAGAACACCGAUGGCGAAGGCAGCCAUCUGGACCGACACUGACGCUGAGGCGCGAAAGCGUGGGGAGCAAACAGG
rnacentral:rRNA from 1 species